AUUCGCCCUUAGAGUUUGAUCCUGGCUCAGAACGAACGCUGGCGGCAGGCUUAACACAUGCAAGUCGAACGCCCCGCAAGGGGAGUGGCAGACGGGUGAGGAACACGUGGGAACGUACCCUUUGGUUCGGAACAACCCUGGGAAACUAGGGCUAAUACCGGAUACGAGCGAGAGCUGAAAGGUUUACCGCCGAAGGAUCGGCCCGCGUCUGAUUAGCUAGUUGGUGAGGUAAUGGCUCACCAAGGCGACGAUCAGUAGCUGGUCUGAGAGGAUGAUCAGCCACAUUGGGACUGAGACACGGCCCAAACUCCUACGGGAGGCAGCAGUGGGGAAUAUUGGACAAUGGGCGCAAGCCUGAUCCAGCCAUGCCGCGUGAGUGAUGACGGCCCUAGGGUUGUAAAGCUCUUUUACCCGGGAAGAUAAUGACGGUACCGGGAGAAUAAGCCCCGGCUAACUUCGUGCCAGCAGCCGCGGUAAUACGAAGGGGGCUAGCGUUGUUCGGAUUUACUGGGCGUAAAGCGCACGUAGGCGGACGCUUAAGUCAGGGGUGAAAUCCCGAGGCUCAACCUCGGAACUGCCUUUGAUACUGGGUGUCUUGAGUCCGGAAGAGGUGAGUGGAACUGCGAGUGUAGAGGUGAAAUUCGUAGAUAUUCGCAAGAACACCAGUGGCGAAGGCGGCUCACUGGUCCGGAACUGACGCUGAG
rnacentral:rRNA from 1 species